rnacentral:lncRNA from 1 species
CUUCUUGCCUGCUGCCACAAAGACGUGUCUUGCUUCCCCUUCGCCAUCUGCCUUGAUUGUGAGGCCUCCCCAGCCACGUGGAACAACUUUGCUGCUCUAUUGCCAAACUACUCAUAUCCCCCUGUUACUGUGAAACUUGGUGAAAUUCCUCAGGGAUUUUGAGACAUCAAAGCAACCGAAUUUUGCUCUUGUUGCCCAGGCUGGAGUGCAGUGGCACGAUCUUGACUAACGGCAACCUCCACUCCCGGGUUCAAGCGAUUCUCCUGCCUCAGCCUUCCUGAGUAGCUGGGAUUACAGGCAUGCGCCACCACGCCCGGCUAAUUUUGCAUUUUUAGUAUAGACGGAGUUUCUCCAUGUUGGUUAGGCUGGUCUCGAACUCCCGACCUCAGAUGAUCCGUCUGCCUCGGCCUCCCAAAGUUGCUGGGAUUACAGGCGUGAGCCACUGCACCCGGCAAGAAUAUAAUCUUAUCAGAUCAGGACCCAACCCUUGUGACCUCAUUUAACCUUAAAUGCCUUCUUGUAGGGGAAAUUCUCAAAUAUAGUCACACUAGAGGGUCUAGGAUCAAUGGAUGAAUUCUGGGAAAGAAGACACAAGUCAGUCCAUAGAGGGGCCCUAGAAUGUAUAUUACUUAGUUACCCUAAAAGAGAAAUAAUAUGAUC